AUGAACGCUAGCUACAGGCUUAACACAUGCAAGUCGAGGGGCAGCAUGAACUUAGCUUGCUAAGUUUGAUGGCGACCGGCGCACGGGUGAGUAACACGUAUCCAACCUGCCGAUGACUCGGGGAUAGCCUUUCGAAAGAAAGAUUAAUACCCGAUGGCAUAGUUCUUCCGCAUGGUAGAACUAUUAAAGAAUUUCGGUCAUCGAUGGGGAUGCGUUCCAUUAGGUUGUUGGCGGGGUAACGGCCCACCAAGCCUUCGAUGGAUAGGGGUUCUGAGAGGAAGGUCCCCCACAUUGGAACUGAGACACGGUCCAAACUCCUACGGGAGGCAGCAGUGAGGAAUAUUGGUCAAUGGACGAGAGUCUGAACCAGCCAAGUAGCGUGAAGGAUGACUGCCCUAUGGGUUGUAAACUUCUUUUAUACGGGAAUAAAGUGAGGCACGUGUGCCUUUUUGUAUGUACCGUAUGAAUAAGGAUCGGCUAACUCCGUGCCAGCAGCCGCGGUAAUACGGAGGAUCCGAGCGUUAUCCGGAUUUAUUGGGUUUAAAGGGAGCGUAGGCGGACGCUUAAGUCAGUUGUGAAAGUUUGCGGCUCAACCGUAAAAUUGCAGUUGAUACUGGGUGUCUUGAGUACAGUAGAGGCAGGCGGAAUUCGUGGUGUAGCGGUGAAAUGCUUAGAUAUCACGAAGAACGCCGAUUGCGAAGGCAGCCUGCUGGACUGUAACUGACGCUGAUGCUCGAAAGUGUGGGUAUCAAACAGGAUUAGAUACCCUGGUAGUCCACACAGUAAACGAUGAAUACUCGCUGUUUGCGAUAUACAGUAAGCGGCCAAGCGAAAGCGUUAAGUAUUCCACCUGGGGAGUACGCCGGCAACGGUGAAACUCAAAGGAAUUGACGGGGGCCCGCACAAGCGGAGGAACAUGUGGUUUAAUUCGAUGAUACGCGAGGAACCUUACCCGGGCUUGAAUUGCAACUGAAUGAUGUGGAGACAUGUCAGCCGCAAGGCAGUUGUGAAGGUGCUGCAUGGUUGUCGUCAGCUCGUGCCGUGAGGUGUCGGCUUAAGUGCCAUAACGAGCGCAACCCUUAUCGAUAGUUACCAUCAGGUUAUGCUGGGGACUCUGUCGAGACUGCCGUCGUAAGAUGUGAGGAAGGUGGGGAUGACGUCAAAUCAUCAUGCCCUUUAUGUCUUGGGCUACACACGUACUACAAUGGCUGUAACAGAGAGAAGCAAAACAGUGAUGUUGAGCAAAACUUUAAAAAGCAGUCUCAGUUCGGAUUGAAGGCUGAAAUUCGCCUUCAUGAAGCCGGAAUUGCUAGUAAUGGCAGGUCAGCAUACUGCCGUGAAUACGUUCCCGGGCCUUGUACACACCGCCCGUCAAGCCAUGAAAGCCGGGGGUACCUGAAGUACGUAACCGCAAGGAGCGUCCUAGGGUAAAACUGGUGAUUGGGGCU
rnacentral:rRNA from 1 species